GAUGAACGCUAGCGACAGGCCUAACACAUGCAAGUCGAGGGGCAGCACAUGAGUAGCAAUACGACGGUGGCGACCGGCGCACGGGUGAGUAACACGUAUGCAACCUGCCUUCUACUAUGGGAUAACCCGUUGAAAGACGGACUAAUACCGUAUAAUACAGGGGCUCCGCAUGGCGAUAUUUGUUAAAGAUUUAUUGGUAGAAGAUGGGGAUGCGUAUGAUUAGAUAGUUGGUGAGGUAACGGCUCACCAAGUCAACGAUCAUUAGGGGUUCUGAGAGGAAGGUCCCCCACACGGGUACUGAGACACGGACCAGACUCCUACGGGAGGCAGCAGUGAGGAAUAUUGGUCAAUGGACGAGAGUCUGAACCAGCCAAGUCGCGUGAAGGAAGACGGUUCUAUGAAUUGUAAACUUCUUUUGUGCAGGAAUAAAGUGGGUUACGUGUAACCUUUUGUAUGUACUGUACGAAUAAGGAUCGGCUAACUCCGUGCCAGCAGCCGCGGUAACAC
rnacentral:rRNA from 1 species